rnacentral:piRNA from 1 species
UCCCACUAAUAAUAAAAACUC